rfam:Oryza glumipatula chromosome 6, whole genome shotgun sequence.
AAUAAGUGUAGUUUUAUACUAUUUACGUUUAACGUUUGACCGUUCGUCUUAUUUGAAAAUUUUUUAUGAUUAGUAUUUUUAUUACUAUUAGAUGAUAAAACGUGAAUAAUACUUUAUGUGCGACUAAAUAUUUUUAAAUUUUUCAUAAAUUUUUUAAAUAAGACGGACGGUCAAACGUUGGACACGGAUAUCCACAAUUGUACUUAUU